GCGUGAGGUAAGUAGGUGCUUAUCUCUUCUUUCUUACCAACAACCAAGAGUUGGUUGUUAGGACUCUCCUCUCUCUCUUUUGUCCAUAUUUGGAUAUGAAUUUUUUCUCUUUUCUUUGUCCAAAAGUUAGAUAAAAUUUCUACAUCUCUAUUGUAGAGAUUUGAUGUAUAGGUUUAAGGAAGAAAAAAAAAAAGGGUUCUUCUCAUGAUCU
rnacentral:lncRNA from 1 species